GAUGAACGCUGGCGGCGUGCCUAAUACAUGCAAGUCGAGCGAACGGACGAGAAGCUUGCUUCUCUGAUGUUAGCGGCGGACGGGUGAGUAACACGUGGAUAACCUACCUAUAAGACUGGGAUAACUUCGGGAAACCGGAGCUAAUACCGGCUGAUAUUUUGAACCGCAUGGUUCAAAAGUGAAAGACGGUCUUGCUGUCACUUAUAGAUGGAUCCGCGCUGCAUUAGCUAGUUGGUAAGGUAACGGCUUACCAAGGCAACGCUGCAUAGCCGACCUGAGAGGGUGAUCGGCCACACUGGAACUGAGACACGGCCCAGACUCCUACGGGAGGCAGCAGUAGGGAAUCUUCCGCAAUGGGCGAAAGCCUGACGGAGCAACGCCGCGUGAGUGAUGAAGGUCUUCGGAUCGUAAAACUCUGUUAUUAGGGAAGAACAUAUGUGUAAGUAACUGUGCACAUCUUGACGGUACCUAAUCAGAAAGCCACGGCUAACUACGUG
rnacentral:rRNA from 1 species